GGUAGUGUGGCCGAGUGGUCGAAGGCGCUGGAUUAAGGCUCCAAUCUCUUCAGAGACGAGGGUUAGAAUCCCUCCGCAGCUG